rnacentral:sRNA from 1 species
AAGAACCCCAUCCUAAAAAUCUCC